UGAACGCUGGCGGCGUGCUUAACACAUGCAAGUCGAACGAAGCAUUUAAGACAGAUUCCUUCGGUUUGAAGUCUUUUAUGACUGAGUGGCGGACGGGUGAGUAACGCGUGGGUAACCUGCCUCAUACAGGGGGAUAGCAGCUGGAAACGGCUGGUAAUACCGCAUAAGCGCACAGUACCACAUGGUACAGUGUGAAAAACUCCGGUGGUAUGAGAUGGACCCGCGUCUGAUUAGCUUGUUGGCGGGGUAACGGCCCACCAAGGCGACGAUCAGUAGCCGACCUGAGAGGGUGACCGGCCACAUUGGGACUGAGACACGGCCCAGACUCCUACGGGAGGCAGCAGUGGGGAAUAUUGCACAAUGGAGGAAACUCUGAUGCAGCGACGCCGCGUGAGUGAAGAAGUAGUUCGCUAUGUAAAGCUCUAUCAGCAGGGAAGAUAGUGACGGUACCUGACGAAGAAGCUCCGGCUAAAUACGUG
rnacentral:rRNA from 1 species